rnacentral:rRNA from 1 species
AUUGAACGCUGGCGGAAUGCUUUACACAUGCAAGUCGAACGGCAGCACGGACUUCGGUCUGGUGGCGAGUGGCGAACGGGUGAGUAAUAUAUCGGAACGUGCCCAGGCGUGGGGGAUAACAGAGUGAAAAUUACGCUAAUACCGCAUACGAUCUAAGGAUGAAAGCGGGGGAUAGCAAGACCUCGCGCGAUUGGAGCGGCCGAUAUCAGAUUAGGUAGUUGGUGAGGUAAAAGCCCACCAAGGCAACGAUCCGUAGCUGGUCUGAGAGGACGACCAGCCACACUGGGACUGAGACACGGCCCAGACUCCUACGGGAGGCAGCAGUGGGGAAUUUUGGACAAUGGACGCAAGUCUGAUCCAGCCAUGCCGCGUGCGGGAAGAAGGCCUUCGGGUUGUAAACCGCUUUUGUCAGGGAAGAAAUCUUCUGAGUUAAUACCUCGGGAGGAUGACGGUACCUGAAGAAUAAGCACCGGCUAACUACGUGCCAGCCGCCGCAGUAA